GCUUGUCUCAAAGAUUAAGCCAUGCAUGUCUAAGUAUAAACUGCUUAUACUGUGAAACUGCGAAUGGCUCAUUAAAUCAGUUAUAGUUUAUUUGAUGGUACCUCUACUCGGAUAACCGUAGUAAUUCUAGAGCUAAUACAUGCAUAAAACCCUAACUUCUGGAAAGGGUGUAUUUAUUAGAUGGAAACCAAUGCGGGGUAACCCGGAAUAUGGUGAUUCAUAAUAACUUUCGGAUCGAUUUAUCGAUGCAUCAUUCAAGUUUCUGCCCUAUCAGCUUUGGAUGGUAGGGUAUUGGCCUACCAUGGCUUUAACGGGUAACGGAGAAUUAGGGUUCGAUUCCGGAGAGGGAGCCUGAGAAACGGCUACCACAUCCAAGGAAGGCAGCAGG
rnacentral:rRNA from 1 species